CUCCUGGGUGGGUGGGGAAGGACGGAGUUCAUAUCAGACAUCUUCCCUGUCCCGCCCAG
ensembl:miRNA